UGUUUUUUUUAUUUUUUCUGUUUGCUGUGUUGACUUUUCGGUAUUUUGUCAGGGAGUAGCUGCUCUCUCGCUAGACUUCUGUUUCCUAGGGUUUUAGGGUUUUCGAUUUUUUUGUCGUGUCUUGGAGCUUCAAUGGACUCAGAUGAAGCCAAGCUCUUCGUCGGAGGAAUUUCUCGGGUGACCAGUGAAGUCAUUUUGAGGAAACAUUUCGACAAAUACGGUACAGUAUUGGGCUCCUCCAUUGCGAAGGACCGGAUCACCAAGAAUUCUAGAGGGUUUGGAUUCGUCUGGUUCUCCGACUCAUCUGCUGCUCAUAAAGCCCUUCAAGACUCGCAUGUUAUUCUGGGAAAAACGGUAGAAGUCAAAAAAGCAAUACCCAGGAGUGAACAACAGCAACAUCAAAACCAACAGCAGAAUGGAGGAUCAAGUAAGGGUAGUAGUAUUGACAAUGGCGAGAACCAAUUUAGGACUAAAAAGAUUUUCGUAGGAGGUUUAUCAGCUAGUUUAACCGAGGAAGAGUUUAAGAACUACUUUGGGAAGUUUGGUAGUGUUACAGAUGUAGUGGUGAUGCAUGACAGCACAACCCAUCGGCCUAGGGGUUUUGGCUUUAUCACAUUUGAUUCAGCGGAGUCUGUGGUGAAUGUUAUGAAGAAUAGCUUCCAUGAGCUAAAUGGUAGGCUUGUGGAGGUUAAGAGGGCUGUCCCAAAAGAGGUAAAUAAUGGUAGUGACAGUGGUUUUAACACAAGAAUGGAGGGUGGAAUAGGGCCUUCUUUCAGUUAUUCUCCUUAUAGACCUGGAUAUUGGGUUCUCCCAAGUUAUGCACCUUUUCCUGGGUUUGGUGGUGGUGGAGGCUCUCCCUAUGGAGCAAGCAUUUAUGGUGGUUGGUACCCUAUUGGAGGAUCUGGUAGCAUUGGUUCUGGUAUUUCUCCACUUGCUCCAAGAAGUCCUUGGUAUGGCACCACUGUGAUUGGUGCCGGGGCAUUACCGUUGCCUCAGAGCAGGGCUUCUGUUAAUACUGCAUACUUGAGUGGUGGGGUUGGAGUUAUGGGUAUGGCUGCUGGUGGGUACAGUGGGAUUGUUGGACAAAGAGAAUUAGAAGCUGAAUCAGGCUCUUUGUGGCAAUGAACACAUGCUAGUUGAUAUGAAACCACCUUGGAUUGAAGGGGUGAAGUUGGAUGCAUUCUUCAUGUUUGAAGGGAAGCAUGGUACUACUUUUACCAAAGAAACCAAAGGAGUCAAAGGAAGGGUCAUCCGAGCCUUACCGUGUCUAGCUGUAGUUAUGGUCCUAGCUACAGGAGUCUGUGAUUAUGCCCCUCUCAUGGAACGCAAAGUUUUGAGGAUUGGUAGAAAUGGGUCAUGUGGUGGUUCUUGUUAUCCAGCAUUGCUGGCGAUGGGAAUGAGAGUGCUGUGAUUCCAAAUCAAGGAGCACGGUUCAGGAAACCAUGGUUCGGGAAGAACAACAGAUGGAUCAUGAAGAGGGUAGAUUGCUGAAGGAAGUUUCAAGAAUGAAGAGUCAAUAAAGGCAUCUCGCAACGAUGCCAUUUCAACCAGGGAGGAACUGUGCCGUUUCCAGGCCAAGGGGGAUGCCAGUUCAACGAUGCCGUUUAAAGAUAGCUGAUACAACGAUGUCGUUUCGUUAUAUUCCUUAAAGUUUUAUGUUAUCGUUUGUAUGCAUUUCCAUUCUAGAAUAGUCCAAAUUCUGUUAUGCUCCAACCCAUGUGUGUUUUACACGUGGAAGGAUAUUCUCCAAGUAGUGGGUGUAAAAGGGGGGAUGGGGUGCAUGAUAGAGGAUGCAUAAUCAUUGUAAGGAUUGUUAUUUGGAGGAAGGUUUGCCUCGAACAAAACACGGCAUGACACUACUGUCACCAUUUAUCCA